UACGUAGGGUGCAAGCGUUGUCCGGAAUUAUUGGGCGUAAAGAGCUCGUAGGCGGUCUGUCGCGUCUGCUGUGAAAACUCGGGGCUUAACCCCGGGCCUGCAGUGGGUACGGGCAGACUAGAGUGCGGUAGGGGAGACUGGAAUUCCUGGUGUAGCGGUGAAAUGCGCAGAUAUCAGGAGGAACACCGGUGGCGAAGGCGGGUCUCUGGUCCGAAACUGACGCUGAGGUGCGAAAGCUAGGGUAGCAAACAGG
rnacentral:rRNA from 1 species